GAUAGGGUAGUUGAGAUUGUUGGAGAGGAGUAUGUAAAUGUAAAAGACGCUCUUUUUCAAGUUACUGAUAAGCUGAGGGAGAAUCUCUUCUUCAGUUUGGCCUCUAAGGGUGUAGCACAUAGGCAUUAUCCUUUCUCUUCAAUGCCUGAAAGCAGCCUCAGUGAAAUAUGGAGAAAAUCAUCUGCUGUCCAAACAGAUCUUGUGCCGAAGCCAGGUGGUCCUCAUAUAUGGCUGCAUAAAAAACAGGUUAAGGACACGGUGAAUGACACGACAAAUAAAGAUGGUUCAGGAGGCUGGAAUAAUUCGCGUGGUGCACUUGAACAUGGAAGG